rnacentral:lncRNA from 1 species
GGGUAUGCGAGGGAAUUCUCAGGGUAACAUAAGCUAGGUGAAGGGUCUUUUGUGGAGAACUAGGCUUAAGGACUGUCCCUGUCUUCUGUCUUGGUUUUUGUUUGUUCGUCUUCUAUUUCCUUGUGGCAUUAUUAGGAAGGUGAGCUUGAUGUAGACCAUUGACUGACGCUAGUCAAAGUGUAGGUCCUUGUGACAUAAGAACACUAGCCCAAGAGGUCCAUGCAGUAGUUAAAUAUUGGUUUUGGUCAUCAUUGGGUGCUCUGAGGGUCUUCUCUGUAUCCUCUAACCCAAGACAAAAUGCACGAGUCAGGAAGCACUUCCUUGUGCCAGAGCUGUGGGCCACACUGGGGGGCUCUGUUGCUUGCUGUUCCCCUUCCUGAGAAUCGGCUUUAAUUCCUACAUCUGCUGUUGGACCCAGCUCUGGCUUUGCAUCCUUACUCUCAUGCCCAGGUGCUUCAUUACUCAGAGAGGGAGAUGAGGUCUAGGGCGUUAUACCUUGAUGUGCUCUGCAAAGAGGUAACUUACAGGACACAGGGUAGCCAAGAGCAAAACCCCUCCCCACUAGAAGCCACUAGAAGUUUAGCUCAGUUAUGGGAGAGCCUUAGACACUUGACCAAGUUUAAGGAUUCUGCAAUGACAGCUGGGGUAUUUUAAAGUUUACAAUGAAGUGUUCCUUUUAUAGUCAUAUUUAAAUAUAAACUUAGAAAGGCAUUUAGCCUCGAUUUAUUGAAUCCUAAGGAUUUCAUGUAAGGUUUUUUGCAACCUGUUUAGUUUUUGUCAUUUAAAAUGCUUAACUUCUUAGGUACACAAACCCAUGGCUUUGUGUACUAGAACCAGAGCAAUCCACUGAUUCAUAUUGGAUCCCAGGUAUACCUCCUGCUGGUGCCAGGUGUCAUAGGGACACUUGUUAGGGACCUCGCCUGACUUUCCUGGAAACUGCUGGUCGGUCAGCUGCCUCUUUCUGUCAUGUGUAGGUAGAGCGGGCUGGAAGAACAGGUACUUGCACGGAAACAGCUCUUCCUUUCUCUUUAGAUGUACAGUGGGGGAGGUUGUUAAGUGUUCUCCUCGGUUCCGUUUACUGACUUUUCAAAGGUUUGUGGGAAAUGCAGGUGAUUUAGAGAGAAACUUGUCUAGUUUUUCCUACGAGUCAACAGGCGGGAUGGACAGGUGCAUGUUGCUGUGUUUUGUGUGGGAGAGUGUAGUAUGCUCUAGGCCGCAGGACUUUUGGCUUUCUUACAUGACUUUCUGCUAAACUGCUUUUCAUUUUAAGGACACGUGCAGCGGAGGCUGGUUUGGGGACUAACACAUUUUGCAUUUGCAUUGUUGUCUUAGAGCGCACACAUUGUAGACUGAUGGUUGCACCCAGCCCACACUGACUGACCGCUGAGGAGCAGAUAACACUUGUUCUUCCCUUUUUACAGGUGUGGGAUCCUGACCUGAGCUGUGUCCUCUGUGAGGACUUCCUUCCUUGGCUUUAAUUCCCAUGUUUAAUUUUCAGGUGCAGCAGCGGUGCCACGUGCUUUCCUUUCACUGUUCUCUUCUCCCGUAUGCGGCCCACUCCCCUGCCCUGGCUGGGAUUCUGGUUCCCUCCUCGUGUUCUGCUUCUCUUCCGUCUUGUUGACACCUGAGGAGUUGUCACUGUUCCCCCAUCCAGCGAGUCUCUGUUUGCAUGUUCUUUCCCUUCACUUCUGUGGCUUCCAUACCUGCAGUGGCCACUGAUACUCACUUGAGUCAGGCUCCCUCUGGCAGGAGGGAGCAUUGUGGAUGUCUGCACCAGGGCCACAUGUGCAGUCUCUCUAACCCUUUUGCCUUGACAGGUCCUUUCCUUGGGAUUUGCUCCUCCAGAACCUGAAUGGGAGAGCUUGACCUUUUGCUUGUUAUUUUGCAGUUUGAUUCUGGGCCUAGAGAUGCUGCCAGUGCCUUUCAGCUGUGGUCUGCAUGUCAUUAACCACCCCUCUCUGUUUUUACCCCUCUACCUUUGCAGGACCCGGGGCAUGGGUCAGUGUUAGUGGUAGCGUGCUCUCAUUCGCUUGGAAGUGGUGGCCGUGUGGCCGUUAUACUGCCCUUGCUGAUAUGGCCCUCGUCGUCGUGUAAUGUGUGUGCGCCUCCCUGCUGUGCAGGCAGUUUGGAGUGCAGGCUAUGUUGCUGGGAGUGCGAUGGCUGCUUAGAAACCACGAGACACCGCCUUGCUUUCCUCUGGCCUCACUGUUUCUGCCAGUCACGUGCUUUCCCGUGUGAGUGACACUGCCGUGCUUUACCCCCGUCACCCUUUGCGUUACUGCGUGGGAACUCUUGCAGGCUAUCUAUGUGAAGAAUAACUGUGAUGUAGAUGAAAAGAAAGAAAAUGUAUUGUUGUGUGUAUCAUUUAUGUGCUUUCAGAGCAAAAAAAAAAAUGUGUUUCAGCUGUACUGUAACCAAGAAUUCUGUCAAUAAAAUAUUAGAGGUGUUCCUGGC